UGCACCCAGAUUCCUUAUUCCUCAAACCUAAAUAGUGGUCUGGGUGACUUCAAAAAAAGGAAGAAAAUUAAAACUGAAAUGGACUUGGAGUCUUUUGUGGCAAAUAAGUUCAUCUCAAACAAAA
rnacentral:snoRNA from 1 species